UACGUAGGGGGCAAGCGUUGUCCGGAUUUAUUGGGCGUAAAGGGUGCGUAGGCGGUUCCGCAAGUCCUGUGUGAAAUCUUCGGGCUCAACUCGAAGUCUGCACGGGAAACUGCGGGGGCUUUGAGUGUGGGAGAGGUGAGUGGAAUUCCCGGUGUAGCGGUGAAAUGCGUAGAGAGUCGGGAGGAACAUCAGUGGCGAAGGCGGCCAUCUGGGACAACACUGACGCUGAAGCACGAAAGCGUGGGGGAGCAAACAGG
rnacentral:rRNA from 1 species